ACCACUACAGUGAAAUAGCCUGUCAAUAACANNAACAGAGCCGACAUCAGGUCAANCUACCCACGACGUCAAGCAACUNNNAGCCACACCCCCACGGGCCUGCAGCAGUACUUAAUAUUGGGCUAUAAGCGAAANNNNNGCUUGACCUAAUAAUGGGGUCNANUCANGGGCCGGUUAAUCUCNGUGCCAGCGACCGCGGUUACACGACAGACCCAAGACAAUACCACCGGCGUAAAGCACGACUAGAACAACAGUUAUUAACUUNNUAGGGUAGAGGAANAAACUGGGCCGUAAAAAGCCAUAAGUCCAACNAAAUCAGCACCCCCUAAAAAACAAANCCACUUCAACUCGUGAAAGCGAGGACACAAACUAAGAUUAGAUACCUUACUAUGCCCCGCCGUAACAUAGCAGUUAAACAACUAAUUGCUCGCCAAAUAACUACGAGUAAAAACUUGAAAUUUAAAAGACUUGACGGUGCUUCACAACAACCUAGAGGAGCCUGUCUAAUAACCGAUAACCCACGAUUAACCCCACCCGUUUUUGCCCAANCAGUCUAUAUACCGCCGUCGCCAGCUUACCUUGUGAAAGAAACAAANGCAAGCCAAAAAGUACCCACACUAACACGACAGGUCGAGGUGUAACAAAUAAACGGGCCAAAGAUGGGCUACAUUUUCUCACCCAGAAAAGACGAAUAGANGUAUGAAACAACAACCUGAAGGAGGAUUUAGCAGUAAGAUAAAAACANGAAUACUUAUCUGAAACUAACGCAAUGAAGCGCGUACACACCGCCCGUCAUCCCUGUAAANANCAACACAAACAUCCAUAAAUACACACACACGCCUAAGGCAGGGCAAGUCGUAACAC
rnacentral:rRNA from 1 species